UACAGAGGGUGCGAGCGUUUAAUCGGAAUUACUGGGCGUAAAGCGCGCGUAGGCGGCUUUGUAAGUCGGUUGUGAAAUCCCCGGGCUUAACCUGGGAACUGCAUCCGAGACUGCAUAGCUAGAGUAUGGGAGAGGGAAGUGGAAUUUCAGGUGUAGCGGUGGAAUGCGCAGAUAUCAGGAGGAACACCGAUGGCGAAGGCAGAUCUCUGGGCCGUAACUGACGCUGGAGGAGCGAAAGCAUGGGGGAGCGAACAGG
rnacentral:rRNA from 1 species